AUCCAGUUGACGAGUCCCAAAUAAGACGAAAUGUGCGUCAAACUAGAU
rfam:Schistosoma curassoni strain Dakar, Senegal genome assembly, scaffold: SCTD_scaffold0000075